rnacentral:rRNA from 1 species
CCUACGGGAGGCUGCAGUGAGGAAUAUUGGUCAAUGGACGCAAGUCUGAACCAGCCAUGCCGCGUGCAGGAUGACGGCUCUAUGAGUUGUAAACUGCUUUUGUACGAGGGUAAACCCCGAUACGUGUAUCGGGUUGAAAGUAUCGUACGAAUAAGGAUCGGCUAACUCCGUGCCAGCAGCCGCGGUAAUACGGAGGAUCCGAGCGUUAUCCGGAUUUAUUGGGUUUAAAGGGUGCGUAGGCGGUUUGAUAAGUUAGAGGUGAAAUGUCGGGGCUCAACCCCGAAACUGCCUCUAAUACUGUUGGACUAGAGAAUAGUUGCGGUAGGCGGAAUGUAUGGUGUAGCGGUGAAAUGCUUAGAGAUCAUACAGAACACCGAUUGCGAAGGCAGCCGCCUGGCCUGUGACUGACGCUGAGGCACGAAAGCGUGGGGAGCAAAUAGGAUUAGAUACCCCAGUAGUC